rnacentral:rRNA from 1 species
CGAAGCCCCAGGUCAAGCGGGGCUACCCGCUGAGUUUAAGCAUAUCAAUAAGCGGAGGAAAAGAAACUAACAAGGAUUCCCUUAGUAACGGC